CGUCCCUGGCAAUGAGCAAAGAGACACCUUGUUGGUGGUGGUGGUCUUAUAUCAGUCAGGGCAAAGCAGAUGGUAGUCCUUUGUUCAUCCUAGUUUGAUGCCUGGGUUGGUGGUCACAGCUGUUUUAUGCCUAGGAUAUAUAA